rnacentral:lncRNA from 1 species
GUUUUAUACAUGUUUUGCAGGAGCAGACAUUCUAACUAAAUCAUCAGUGGGGAGAGAUUUCAUUGAGUGUGGGUAGAGACAUGAACAUCUGGGCUAGAGUCUGAAGGAAAUGAACCAUAACUUUACUUCUGUUAUGAAUCACAAUGUAAGUAUCUGAUAUUCAGUAUAUUCAAUAUGCUACUUGAGUAAAAGGGUUGUUUGAGUCCAAAGAGGUCACAACUCACAGUCUAAUAACUGCUGCU